UACAUCAAGUAAAUAGAUCACGCCCGAAUACUAUGACUCUGAGUCUGGGGAGAGAUCUUGAUAAGAUCGAGAAUGAUGAAAAAUUUACCUUCGUCUGCUGGCUCAUCAUUCUCUUCUGCUUCGUCCAGGUCCAAAACAUCAGCAUCACUAUCAUCUGACGACUGGUAGUCUUCAUUAUCACUAGCAGCCUCAAAACCAUCAUCACCGCUAUCAUUAUCGGUGAAAAUUUCGUCGAGAACUUGACGCGUUGUUAGCAUACGUUGCGUGCGAUCAGCCAUGGCUGGGAGCUAGAGUGAAAGGCAGCGAGAGUGAAACGCUAGAACUGUGAAGAAGGACUGACGCUAUAAUUCCCGCUAUUUCGGUUAUUAUUGGUCUAAUUAGGGCAAAUAAAAGCUUCUCUAACUCGGGAAGAAAAGAGCUUUCAGGGGAGCCCACUCUCGAUACUAUAUUGCAAUUACCGGCUGAGAAGGAAACGAAACAAAACAGCGAUAUCGCCGGGCGUACACUGUACGCCCACAGCGCAUAGGAGGGCCCGAUUUAUGGACGUACACCGUACGCCGAGCAGCAGUGAAGCGGUUAAGACAAUCUCUUCUUGUCUUAACUGGAGUUGUCACCACAGAUGUAAAUGGCAAUUCAGCCCCUGAUGGUCUCACUGGUGAACGUGGGGGAGAUGACGCUGAAACUGUAGACACAUGUGGAAAUUCGAAUUUUUCACGAAUAAAAUUGUGUAGUCUCACUAUUCUGUUUCACUCGUUUUAUCAAAAAACGAAACUGAUCUAAAACAUGUUAAACUUUGGCCUUAAUCCGAGGCACGGAAACAUUGUCUUUGAAGAAGUUGACUACCAGAUAAUCACUACAACACCACUUUUUUCCUUCCACUUGCUCAAGUGAACUUAUUAAAAACGUGUAUCACAGUUGCAUUUAAACACUUGGAGGUGUCACUAGCUAUGGCAGCUACUUGGUCCUUAACUUCUUGGACGGACUUGAAGCUCAUCUUGGUCAAACCAUCUGAAAUUGAGGGGGAAAAAAUUUGAUAAAAAUGCAAAGCUUAUUAUAAGCAAAAAAGUCCAGAGUCAUCUCUAUGAAAUGAUCCUAACUAAUGACAGGAAUUUGGGGUUUGACUCUUACAUUAUAAACUAUAACGACGUGGGAAAGUGAAAAACUGAUGUAUAAAGUCUCCUAAUUUAUCAUAAGCUUUCCAACAAUCUGAAAUAAUAACUGAGCCUUUCCUAAUGUACUUUUCUGUAAUAGGGACUAAAGUGUCUACUGACCUAACCUCUAUCGCUACAAAAAAAACCCAGUUGUCUGUAUUGUCUUUCUCUAUACCUCCAAAACCCAAACUCCAUCUAUGUGCUUGCCUCUAUGAAAUUUCCUCUUCCCAAACUUGCUCUCGUCUAUUUCUACAACACCACCGUCACCACCAAUCUGACUAAACCUAUCCUCAUUGUCCAAAAUGUCUAUACAGGCGUUUCUGCAAAAAUUAAACCAGUCCACUGUGGCAUCAUGUCACUCCAGGUAGCAGCGGAUUUCCGUCUCUAAUUUCACUAUUCUGGGCACAGCAGUUUGUUUGCCUUUAAAUGCUUGAUCAAACGGUGUCAGAGCUUCAACUUUUUUUGCAGGUGGGGAGCUAUUGCGUCUUCCUCGCUUGUUGUUGCUUGUCCUGGUGGCUAUGGCAGCGUCAUGGACUUGGUCAGUUUGUUCAAAGCAGAGUUGGAUGGUGAAGCUGUUGGGAAGCCCAGCUCCCUUAAACCUGGGGUCCAAAAGUGUAGCUAGCCUCAGAUGUGUCUUCUCAUCGAUGCCUUUAAAAAUGUAGGUUCAGCUGAAAGUUGAGGUAGUUGCUUUGCAAGGGCAGCUUGUCCUGGGCUGUGAACCUGCUCAACGGGAAUACAAUUGGAAUGAUCUUUGCAACAGAGAGGUGUUUUGUUCUGUUGAAAUCUCUACUAUUGCCUCAUAAAAGGGCUCCAAGGUCUCCAUUGUCUUCUGUAACAGUGACAGCUUGAUGGGGCACCGGCACUUGUUUUGCUUGCCACUCAGACAUAGGGCUGCGGUCACCUGCUCGUGCUGCUCCAAAUAAGACUUGAAUAUCUCGAAGGUACUAUUCCAAUGAGUUUCCACAUCCUGGUGUAAUUUCUUUGGUGUCGUAUUUUUGCCUUGAAGGCUUCUUUCAGUGAGUUUCUCACAUUGACACUAGUGGAAAAAAGAAACAAUGUCUUGCACGCACAAGCACAUCAUCCGUCUUUCUGAUGGAUUCUUUGACAACCAGGUGGAGGUUGUUGUGUGCAAAGCACGGUUGAUGUUGAUAUUUCAGCCCCUCAACAGCAAGCUUCAUGUUGGCUACAUUGUCCAUGACAACAGUAGUGGCUUUCCUCUCUAUUCCCCAAGCUAUAAAAACUUUUUGGACAUUUGCAGCGAUGUUCCCUGAAGUGUGACUUGUCUCCAGCAACACUGUGUUCAGGACUCUUGAUGUCAGCUUCCAAUCAGGGGAGCCAAAAUGCACGGUCACUGUCAUGUAGGACAUGACCUACAUGAGCUCUUCUUUUUUCCCUGACGUCCGACAGUCUGUGGAGAUCGUGAGGUGGUCCAUUACGUCCAGCAGUCUGUGGAGAUCGUGAGGUGGUCCAUUACGUCCAUCUGUCUCCUCAGCUGACCCCUUUGUGCUCAUUAUUUUGUAGGCAGCAGUUGGGAGGACAAUGUUUUCCUGGUGACGAUCUCGUAGCGAUGGUCCAUCUUGUUCUUGAGGGGUCUUGCACUCAGCACACUUGUGGUUUGUUUCCUCGGCUCUCUUCUUUUUGCCUUGUGUGUCUGGGAGAGUUUCCCUGUAUCUUUUACGUUCUCUCCAAGGCUUUGAGCUGGUUAUGGUGAUGGAAAGAAGUUACAGGUACUGGAAUUCUUUGGUGAUGUCGAGAUGAAUCGAUGUUGGUUUGUUGACUUUUCGAUGCUGGACAAUGAGCCGGACGAUGACUGAUGUACUAUAUUUAUAUAUCUAAAUUACUAGAUAGCAAAAAUUCAGCUUACCUUCUUCAACUAGAUCUACAAAUGUACUAUUAAAUAGAUAGAGAAAGGCUUUAAAACAAAAACAAAAAAUAACAACAAAACAACUUUAUUUCUUCCGCAUGAUUAAAAUAAUGCAUAUCUUGUGAAAAAAUAUGUCCACUCGAGACAAUUAAAAUGUAAUUGACAUCAACUAUAAAUACUUUCCAAUUUGUCCACCCUGACACUUCACCAGAGUUUUUCUGCCUUUUUAGGGAAGGAAGGCAAUGAAGCUCUUGAUAAAAAAAAUUCUGCCAAACAAAGGAUGAAUACAUGUUCUAGUGUUUAAAAUUUUAAAAAAGGUAGAGUCUAGGGGGAUCAGGAUUUUGGUCCGUGGAGACUGCAUGUCAAGGGGGAGCCAGGAUUUUUGUGCACAGAGAUUAAUACCAUCUUGGUCUCCUUUGCCACUACCCUCACGAACUCUGCCCUCUUCUCUAACUGGACUGACCAUUUGUCCAAACUCUGUCUCCAUUUCCUCACUUCUACUUUCCUGUUGAGAACUAACGGCUGUGAUCAUUUCAUUUCCAUACUCCAAACAGUCCUCAAUUUCAAUCUACAUUGAAUAGAAGUCAAAAUAUUUUCGAUUGAAGGUCAGGGUUGCCUGGCUUCCUGCCAUUUUUCUAUCAGACCAAGAAGAACUCUCUAACGUCUUUCAAACACACUUUGUGCACAACGUGAUCCUACUGACACCAGCUCUCUACAUGGUUCUUUCAUUAUGUAACUGCAAGGUCGAAAAGACUGUACUUACCUUCUGAGUUAUAUACAAACACAAAAAUACUGAUGGGUCAAAUUGACUUCCACAUGGUGCUGAGCUUUUGGAUACAUAAAAACGACACAACGCAAGAUCAGUAUCUGGCAUUGUUUGUCUGACGGCUCCUAUCGUACUUGCUUCCUUAUUCACAGGCUUAACAAACAUACCAGUUGCAACAAUAUAAUCGUCAUAACACAAUACUCACUAUAACAUAUAAUCUCACCACAAUAUCUGUUUGAAAACUAGCAACACUCAGGAACAUUGUAGAGCGAUACAAAAAAAAAGCUACUGCACUCAAACUCACAUAACCGGAAGCCUUUUAGACCAGAUAUAAAUGCAUAGCAACGGCUGUGUCAAGGGCAUGUUCAGCGGCUGUGGGGGUUAAAUGGUUUUUGAAUUACGAGCGUAUUUUUGAAAAUCCAUCUUUGAACGAAUGUCUUAUAAUGAUUUGUGAACUAACACCCCCCCCCCCCCCUUUUUUUUUUUUAAAUUGCAGUUUUGCCUUUGAUGAGUUUGUGUAUAUAUGUAGACCCUACCAGCACUGAUAUAGUGGUUUCUGAAAUCACAGUAAUCAAUAGCUUUGACUUUCAGGAUCACUUUGCAUAUAAUUAUAUAUUAUGCAUUUGUUGGGUGAAUGAAGCCUGAAUGAAUUAUAAUUUUCAUCUUGAAUUUAGAAAUGUCAUCCCCGUUCAAAAUUUCACUUGAGUGACUGCCUUUCCUUAAAUUCUGUGAUCUGAACUAAAUUAUUUGAGGGUGUUAGGCUUAGCCUAGGGUGUUUCCGUGAGAUGCCAUCAUGGAUGCAAGAUGAUAAUAUCCUUGUUUAGGGAAAGAAAUGUCGUAGAUUGAUGUCUGUUCGUCCAGGAGUUUCUGUACAUUUCUGUCUGUAUGUUUGUAAUUUUUAUGUGUUAAAAGUUGAUGAUACGUUUUCUGAGAAAUGUUUUUCACCCUCCAUUUCACCAUGCUCUGUCAGAAGAUGUCUGAGAAGAGACAAACCAAGCAAGUAAAGGUCAUAGGGUACAGCCUGAUUAAUCUAACACUCGUAGCUGGCUAGUGAAGUAACAAGCCUAUACACCCCUCUCUCUGCUCAAUGGUAAUUUCCCUAGAGUCAUCUGCAACUUCUUCUAGCCGAUAAAAAUGCAGAAUAUUCGUGUUCAUAGAACCUUAUGCAGUUGCGAGCACCGUACAACUCUUACUAAACUUAAAAUGCAGAUAGUCCUUUAAGUAGUUUGCCUGUUCGUCAUAUUUCAUCUGCUUCAUGCUUGUUGCAAGUGACCUCAGUGAUGGGGAACUUUGCCUCUGUAUGGGGAGAAUUUGCAGGUCUUUUAGGAGAUCACCUCAUUUCGUGAUGUAGUUAUAUAUGAAUUACGAAACAGGUGUUUAUUCAAUUUGUUUUGUUUUUCUAGUUAGGUCGAUUUGUUAGCAACUUGGGUGGCAAAAGACUGAAGGAAUUUUACAGUUUCCCUUUUACCACGCAGAGUGGAGGUGGCUUAUCCCCUUCAGUGUUGAUGCACACAUUAGUAUUGUAAUACUUUCUUUGGAUGAGCUGCUUCUGGUGACGACUGUGGCAUCGGUAGCUUAGUGGACCGGUAAUCGUGAGAUUGCGUGUUGUGUCUUGGGAAGACACUUUACACCAAUAUCCCAUUUGGCUUGGUCCUUUCGGAGAUGGACGUUAAACUCGGAGGUCCCGCCUCUUAAAUAACCUAAUAUUGUUUAUAGGGGCGUUAAACUUGUACCAUUUCACCAGCUCGUCAUCCAUCCUCGCUUUUCCCUGGAAGAUUCAAAUAAUAGUGCAUUCGGGAGCUUCUUGGGUGGCCAAAGAUGGGCGGAUUUGACAGUUUUCCCUUUUACAACGCUGGGCGAAGGCUUCGUUUACCCUGCAGCGUUGAUGCGCACAGGCGUUGUUAUGUUAUACUUUCUUUGGAAGGGCUGCACUCGGCGACGAGGUGGUGUUGGUGACAUGUCUCUUGCAGACAAAUUAUGUCAUACUUUGUACAAUUACUGAAAAAAGUUUUUCUUUUUUUGUUCUUUUGUUUUUUUUGUUCAAAAAGGCCAAGACAAUUAAGGGAGGCCAUUCUAAUAGGCAUUCGAAACAGUCAGUCGCUAAACCAAUAUCAAAAUCCUUUAACAAGUCCAAGUCGUUACCAAUGGAUACCUAUACGUGUAUACACCAUUCACCCACUCACCAACCUCUUCUUGUACGCAAUUUUCGGUUUCCACAGACUCUUCAGAAUCAAAAUAAUCCACUGUGUCCUCCCUUCUUCUCGUGCCACUGCCACUCACUCCCUGCUUUCGCGCCUUGACACUCGGUGACCGAGCUGGCUCGUCGCUCACCUGCCUCUUGUUUCUCCUCGUGUUGACACUUCGGGACCUUUUGUCUUGGCUUCGGGGUGAGCGGACUGAGGGGCGGGAGCGGUCAGGCUGCGGGGGGAAAAAGUCCACGUUUGUUUGUUUUACGGCACGCAGGGUGUGUGUCUCCGCCUUUGUGUUUACCGCACGGAUCGACGGUUGACCAUGAGUGUCGGGGGCGGGCUGACUUCUGACCUUCACCGGCUGUGUUACUUCCAUUGGCACCUUUUUUUCUUGUCAUAGUGAUACAAAGUUGGUCUCCAAUAACACAAUAACAUCCCUGAAAAUCGUAGGAGGGGGGGGGGGCUCAAUGUAGACUAAACGUCUUCCGAACUUAGAUCUAAAUAAGGUUAACUUACCUGCAUUGUUCCUGAAGCAUUCCUCGUAAAUGUUCGAUCUUAUGGCACUGGCUCUUUUAAAUUUCUUCUCGAUUUCCUCGUUUGACACCGAUAACGGGAUGUUGCCUGCCAGUGAUGCCUUUCACAGAGGGGGAGUCCUUUGUGCCUUUUGUUACCGUCAGACUGGCGCUGAUGAUAGCGACCUGAUAACUUUUGUUUAUUGUCACACAUUUUGUUAUAAACUGGUUCCUUGCCUGAAUCGUAGCCGGAUAAUCCUCCACAGUCCGUACAGCUUCUGGGCUCCGACAAUACUGCCCUCACCCGCGACUUGCUCACGCUCUUUGCACGCGUGGUAGCCGGUGACAUUCAGGUCAAUGUGCUCUGCAAAAACAGAAACAGGCUGGAACGGAUUCAUUGUUAGACUUAGCCAUGGUGUUUACUGAGCAGCAAUGAAGUUAUUCGAAAACUCAAAGAUUAGCACAGGGAGAUAGAUGAGACUAGGACACCGAAAAGGGCAAGCGAGCGAGAGAGGGAGUGGUGAAGCUGUUGACUGAUUUAUCUCUGCAUUGUUUCUCUUAGGCCUGUGUGACAUUGUAUUCUUUUUUACACACCGCAUUCCUCGCCUGUUUGGCUUCUCUUUACUCAACACUUUUCUGUGUUCUGUAACUGACUGGUCUGGACUUAUUUGUGUCACAUCUUUCUUGCAUCAUAUAAACGAGCAAAGGCAGAACAAAAGUGUGCAUGCAUGUCUAAAUAUUGAAAAUGGAAGGUAUUGUUUGAUUAUGUACAUAAUAUGUAAAUAUGACAUAGUAAAUCAUGUAUUUAUUAAUGAUUUUGAUUUUUAAAAAAUUGAAAUUAAAAAUUUGUAAGAGAAAUUAAA